AUACAGAGGUUGCGAGCGUUAAUCGGAAUUACUGGGCGUAAAGGGUACGUAGGCGGAUAAAACAGUCGGAUGUGAAAUCCCUGGGCUCAACCUAGGAACUGCAUUCGAUACUUUUUAUCUAGAGUACAGCAGAGGAAAGUGGAAUUUCUAGUGUAGCGGUGAAAUGCGUAGAUAUUAGAAGGAACACCAGUGGCGAAGGCGACUUUCUGGGCUGAUACUGACGCUGAGGUACGAAAGCGUGGGGAGCAAACAGGAUUAGAUACCCUAGUAGUCC
rnacentral:rRNA from 1 species